CACCCCAAAAUGAGUCUGGCUGUUGUAAACUGGUGUCAAGGACAGAAGAGCAUAGUGAGAUAGUCACUGUAUCCACUGAUACCCACAUCAAUACAUCCCUGCACUGUUAUAUUGCCAAGCCAGUGUGGUGCUUUUCAGCAUUAGUAUAAGGGAAUUUUCAUUUUCACCUCGCAAAAUCAUUUAACAGAGUGGAUUCUAGUCUGAAGGCCAUUUUCAUUUCUGAUCAAAAUACCUGAGGAUGGAGGGGAGAGAUAGACCUGUGUUGGGAAUUAUCACUGCAAGGGUCUAUCAGCAUGGAAGAAGGAUCUAUCAAUGCAAAGAACAAUAGGAAAUAAACUUGGAUAUUGAGGUUACAUUCUGAUUUACCAAGGCAUUAUUCUGUGGUAAAGGAGAUGGUUAGGUUUUGAUGGCAUAGCUCUUUCAAGUUUCAGAUGCGGGUAUCUAAUAAUGGUUAUUGAAAAAGCAGGCAAUUGUGCACAAUGAAGGUCCAAUUCGACACCAGAUGCAAAUCAAUAUAAUGAAGUGGUUGAUGAUGUUUUGGAAGGAAAUUGGAAGUUUUUCAACACAAUCAAAAUUUUAUUUACUCUAUUUACUCUAAAGAAAGACAUGUUUUCCUUUGGCCUCAUACAUUGUCAGUGUAGGCAGUAGGUAAUAUAAAUAAUUAUUUAUGGUUUUAGUGUCAUUGUGAAUACUAUAUAUGAUUGCCAUAUCAUUGAAAUGAUGUUUCUUAUUUUUAAUUUUUAUCCAUGUUCAUUUUAAUCACAUCAUUUGUCAACACUGUUGAAUCAUAUAUCAUCUGCAUGGUGCUGCAAGUAAUUAUUCCAUUUAAAUCUAGAUGAUGUUUCAACUGUAGACAAGUACUGGUAUUUUUGCUGCAAUGGUUGUGCUUUGAUUUUUCCUGUGUGUCUGUUAUAUUUAUAAACAGAUACUUACUGGUAAGUAGAAAGCAGAGUACGGUGAUCCGAUCAUGGGGCGAUUUUGUUAAGCCACAUGUGCAAGUGCAAU